rnacentral:rRNA from 1 species
UGGGGAAUAUUGGACAAUGGGCGAAAGCCUGAUCCAGCAAUGCCGCGUGAGUGAUGAAGGCCUUAGGGUUGUAAAGCUCUUUUACCAGGGAUGAUAAUGACAGUACCUGGAGAAUAAGCUCCGGCUAACUCCAUGCCAGCAGCCGCGGUAAUACGGAGGGAGCUAGCGUUGUUCGGAAUUACUGGGCGUAAAGCGUACGUAGGCGGUGACUCAAGUCAGAGGUGAAAGCCUGGAGCUCAACUCCAGAACUGCCUUUGAAACUAGGUCGCUAGAAUCACGGAGAGGUGAGUGGAAUUCCGAGUGUAGAGGUGAAAUUCGUAGAUAUUCGGAAGAACACCAGUGGCGAAGGCGGCUCACUGGACGUGUAUUGACGCUGAGGUACGAAAGCGUGGGGAGCAAACAGGAUUAGAUACCCACGUAGUCCCUGAGCGGGCUGGCAAGGCG